rnacentral:snoRNA from 1 species
AAUUAAAAUUAUGAUUAUAAUGACGGUAUCUGAAGUAAUAUGAUAAUAACAGACCUAUAAUGAUUUAU